ACAUACGUAUGGGCUGAUAUUCACAAAAUGUUCUUGCGUCAGUGCUCUUCGAAAGAGAAAAUUUUAACCAACCGUGAUGCCGAACGUGCCAUAAUCGAAGGUGACCGACCAUUGCAAAUUAACACUGAGACCGAAAAUGUUUUGUGAAUUGAGUCCUUGUUGUUUCAGACGCGAGGAUGAUUGUGUACUGUACAUGAACUAAUAUCCUUUUGUCUGUCUUUUUCCUCUACCUUUUGCGUUUUGUUUCUCGUUCGUUUUGGUUUGGCGCCUUUGUUUCGCAGGUCUCAGACCCUUUUGCGAAAGGGUGUCGUCGUUGAGGACACAAGUGAAGGUGACAUCAAGGACCCGGAUAUCAUACCGCCGAAGACAGAUUUGGAAGAUCCAGAGUGGGUCUUCCGCCAGUUAAAUGGAUCCAAUGGUAGGAUACGCCAGGAUGGGAGCAUUUCCAAAGGCGGCAUGAUGUACGGCACGUUGCCAAAUGUCAAAGUCCAGAUGCCGCCUCAGCAAUUCCGUGACGACAUGAUGUACCGUGAGCGGCACUAUCCGGGCAGUGGAGUUCGUGGUGACCUGGACAGCAGUCCCGGGGAGCGGCAGCGUAGUGGGGGCACGUUCCGGCCCCAAGGCAGCAUGCCAGAUCCUGAUGAGGUGGACCGAAUGAUCGCCUCCUCCAAAGCUCCCUUGCACACGGCCACAUUAAUGCGCCGGAGUCCAC